ACAGAGUUCAUAGUAGUGGAAUCACACAUCUAGCAGGAAAUAAGCCUAGCUAAUACACUCAGAGUGGCAGCACACUCACAUACAUGGAAGUUAAAUAAAAACUUCACAAAGCAGCACACAUACAGAGGAGCGGAAGUUAAAUACAAAACUUCAACACACAUUAGCUGCAGGGGAGGAAUCUUUGAAUCUGUCACGAAUGUCUGUUUUCACAGACCAAUCUGUUGUCUGGGGUAUCAUCACCUGUUACUCCCCAUUUUUGUCACAAAUGUUGCCAAAGCC
rnacentral:lncRNA from 1 species